UUUUAUGUAAAAGUUGGGCAGAUGGAAUUAAGCCCUCAGAGCAUUCAACUUACUUCAUAAUUUUCAGAGCCAGCCGGGAGUGCAGGAGGGAGAACUUUCCUGUGGACGUCCUGUGUUCUCCAGACGCAGAGAACCCUCAUCAACCGAGGGGGAGGUCACUUCCGAAUCCACAGAUGGCGUGUGAGUGCAUGGCGAGCGCCUCCAGGACACACUUACUGUUCCCUUGCUCUGGCCAGACGCCAGCCGGACCCUGUGUGUGCGCGCCGUGCUGCUCUUUGCAGCUGCCUGCAAGGGGUUCCUGCGAAGACCAGCACCUUGGGGAAGAGCCUGCGGCUGAACUUGAACUCGCAGCUACCUGAGUCAGACCUGUGCUUUUUCACCUCUACGGAAGAUGUCAGAGCGUUUCCCUAGCAAUGUUUUAGAAGUUACUUCUGUCUGGAAAAAAAUGGAAAAAAUGGCAAAUUAUGUUAUGUAUAAUUUGAUAAUUUUAAAGAAUUAAUGAUGUAAUUAUUACUCAAACCCA
rnacentral:lncRNA from 1 species